AGCGAACGUUUGCGGCGGGCUUAACACAUGCAAGUCGAACGGGCUGUUCCUUCGGGGGCAGUCAGUGGCGCACGGGUGCGUAACACGUAGGUAAUCAACCCUCUGGUUGGGGAUAACACUUCGAAAGGAGUGCUAAUACCCGGUAUGGCGCAGCGGUCUUCGGAUCGCGGCGAGAAAGACCCGCAAGGGUUGCCAGAGGACGAGCCUGCGGCCCAUCAGCUAGUUGGCGAGGUAACGGCUCACCAAGGCGAAGACGGGUAGCUGGUCUGAGAGGAUGAUCAGCCACACUGGAACUGAGACACGGUCCAGACUCCUACGGGAGGCAGCAGUGGGGAAUAUUGGCGCAACGGGCGAAAGCCUGACGCAGCCACGCCGCGUGAGCGAUGAAGGCCUCGGUC
rnacentral:rRNA from 1 species